AACGAACGCUGGCGGCAGGCCUAACACAUGCAAGUCGAGCGCGCCCUUCGGGCUUACCGGCGGACUGGUGAGUAACGCGUGGGAACGUGCCCUUUUCUACGGAAGAUCCUCGGGGAACUGAGAGUAAUACCGGAUACGCCCUUUGGUGGAAAGAUUGAUCGGAAUAGGAUCGGCCCGCGUUGGAUUGGGUAGUUGGUGGGGUAAUUGCGUACCAAGCCGACGAUACAUAGCUGGUUAGAGAGGAUGGUCAGCCACACUGGUACUGAGACACGGCCCAGACUACUACGGGAGGGAGCAGUGGGGAAUCCUAGAAAACGGGGGCAACCCUGAUCUAGCCAUGACGGGUGAGUGAUGAAGGUUUGAGGGUUGUAAAGCUAUUUCAGAUGGGAAGAUAAUGACGUUACCAGCAGAAGAAGCACCGGCUAACUCCGUG
rnacentral:rRNA from 1 species